CUCUGUUUGGUGGCUGAGAAACUUAGGAAAAUGUAAGAAAAAUGAAUAAGAUUUUGAAGUUGCUUCUUCUAUUUUCCUUUUGUCAGCCACCGAACCGGACCCUAGAUUUUACUUUGUUUGGAAUCCGAGAAAGCACAACAAACCUUCGCUUAACUCAGCUUAGUUCAACUAUUUACGUUCGUUGGGGUUAGAGAUCGACUGAUAAUUCCAAUCUGUGCUAAUAGAUUGAGAGAUCUUUUGCAUUUUUUGGAUUCUCAUUCUCACAUUGUUUUCAGGGGACUUGAUGCAAAAUGGGAAGUCACAGAAAAGGAAAGUUUCCCUGGGAAGUGAUUGAGCUCUUACCCAGCUGAUUGCCAAUGAACAGUGGAAAGACAACUUACUAGUUUCCUUGCUCUUGACCUGGCAGCAGAUUCUCUGUUCUUUAUCAUUCUGCGCCUAAUCUUCUCAGCAGCGGCUGUUUCUGUGGCAUCAGCAUCAGCUGUGUUGAUGACAGUCUCUGUACUUCCAUUUCCGGGACUGAACAUGUUAAUGAACUGAUGGUAAGGGUGUGCCCCCUGAACAGCUUGUUUCUCUGCAUUCACUUCAUAGGGAUUCACCAUGCUGAAGCCAUUGAUGACUUGAUGAGGUAGUUCCUUCUGAUGCCCGUCUCCAGCCCCUCCAUGUCCGACCCCAAAGCCUGCAGAUCCCAUUGGUUCCAAAACAUUGCCAGCUCUGUGAAUUGGGAACUGGCUUGAUCCUGACCCAUUUCCGAUGGAUAGCAAAGUCUUUUCUUUGUUUCUCAGGCUCUUCAUUCUCAUCCAAUUUUGUAGAGAUUCUUGGGCGUUUUCCCAGUUUCCAGAAAGAACAAAAUUUGCUGGUUGGAUCAUGUCUGAAACAAGAGAUGAUGGGGUUUGAAAUUGCUGGGCUCCUUGGAGAUGCGCCCCUAAAGACAAAGGGCUGAGUUGAACUGACUUCCCUUCAUUGGAAUUGGGGAACACAGGAAACAUGGUGUCUGGUUUUUGAAGAUGCAGACCGAAACUUCAAUUCUGGACCUGAUAUCAGCUGAGAAAUUGGCAACAAAAACAAGAAAUGUAAUUGAAUUAUGAUGCAUGCAAGAAUCUCAUUGUCACAUUGAAAACAAAUGCAAAUCCUCUAAAGAAAACAGAAUUCUGAUAUGAGGAUGUAUAUCUCUUCCUAAAAUUUAUCAGAUGAACUAUGCUAGUGAAUGGUUUUUUUAUCUUUUCAAAUUCCUUAUGAAUCAGCAAAACGAUAACCAAGCUGUACUACCUUUGAGCUGUACUGUUACAGACCAAUUUGGUGCUUCAAGGAUGGACUGAAUUUCCAAAAACCUUCACCUUCAUUGUCAAGUUGUGUUGAGUACUGUAUGAAAGCACACAGAGAGAGUAUGGACCUGAGAAAUAUAAGGACAGAGAAGAUAGACUUGAGAGAUAUAAGCGACACAGAAGAUAGAGGAAGGGAAGAAACUUUAUGCCGAGUGGCAGAGAUGCUCUGAAAAUCAACAUGCAAGAGCUCGGCGGAAGUAUCAAGGCCAAUCAGUUUUACCAAAAAGGAAAAAGGUUGAAACCGAUGCUUUCAUUGUGAGGUUGUAAGGGUGCAGCAAAUAAAGACACUUCAAGCUUAUCAGGUAAUACUUUUAUUACUGUGAGUGCUGCUACGUUUUUAGAAUUACUUUCUCUGGUUUGCUUUUGCAAAUAGAAUGGUGUAUAAAUGUUUCUUGACUUCACAAAAUAUUAUAAAAUGCCAUUGGAUUGAUCAAAAAAGCAAUUUAAAAGAUGUAUGUAUUUCCAAUCUUAUUUAUCAAUUCGCAAAAUCUUAGACUGUAAAAGUAUAGACCAAUUAGCUUUUUUCCCUUCUAAAAAAUUGGUGUUCUUAAGCCUCCUUUAUUUUUCUCCAUGCUUGUUUGGUAACAUUAUGUGGUUAGACUUCUAAUUUUUUGCUAUGUUUGUUUACCAUGUGAUCUCCUAAACUACAUGUUUUCCCACUAUAUUUAUGGAGGUUUAGGUCAGUGAUGAUGAUUGCAUGGAAAAAACUUCAUGCUAAGUAGUUAAGGGACAUCCAUGAUUAUGUCUAAAGUAUCAUUUUCGUGACUUCAACUCAGUGCAGAAGUUCAAAACACUCAAGUCUCCUGAUUAGAGCAAGAACAUGGAUCUUUCUCUUGGUUUCUUACCACAAUAUUUUUCUUAUCUUAUCAAAACACAAACUUUUGGGCACAAAAUUGAUUGCAAGUUGUAUAAUUCCUAGUAUUUAUUCAGUCUAAUCUUGUGCAUUUUGGUGGAUCCCAAAUACCACAAACUUUGGCACAACUUUUGCAUUCUGAUGAUGAAAACAUUGUUGUGCCAUCACGCAAUAUUAAUACAUGGACUAAAACCGCCAUUGCCCUCUUCUAAAAUAAAUAGGAAAGUAUGGGAAACUAGUGACAGCAAAUUGUUUGAUUAGGCAAUGGCCACAAAUUUGCAAUAGCAAGCAGAAAAAUAGAGGUAGUCGGAAAUCUAAAAUCAAGCUACUAACAGAUGCUCUGAAUUUGGUUCUCAUUCUCAUUCUCAUUUGAGUUUCAUAUUUUCUCUGCACUAAAAAAGAAAGAAGAAACCCCCAUUUUAAUUUCGGCUUUGUCCUAUACAUCUCCUCAUGAAAAGCAAAGAGAAUUUCCAGCAGUGACCAACAGAAGAACUUCUUCAGGUUGAAUUGCCUAGCAACUUUUUUCAGGGAGGAGACCGGACAUCGAUGAAAAGCCUCGUAUGUACUAGUUAUCUAUUGCUAAAGUAGAUAUAGCUGAGAUUCAGAGGAAAUCAUCUUCCUUAAUGUCACCACCCCAAAGCUGCUCUGUGAAACACCACAAGAGACGUGGCCAGGCCUACAGUGACUCCAGCUCUAGCCUCUCAAGCCUCAGUUCUGGGUGCUAAACCAGAGGCCGUUCCUGUCACAAUUGAAAGCUCAGUAGCUCCAACUUUUAGUUAAGCAUCAUUCACACUAAAGGAGUUGAAUGAAUGAAUAUCAAUAGUUUAUGAUUUGGUUGGUGUCAUGUUUUAUAGUUGUUUUCAAAGACCGAAGGGUGUGAAGGAAAUCCUUCUUACCUCUGAAAAUGUUCAUCUCAGGAUGUUUUACAUAUUGUAUGGAGCUUCUUUUGUUGUACAAGAAUUUGUACGUAAGCAUUUCAUUCAUUAUUUUUUGAACUUUGUUACAAUAUUGGUUGCCAUUUAUUAUAGUUUUUGUUUGCUGAA